CACUCACUCUCCUAUUUAUCAAAUAAUAGGGCUGGGAAUGGGGAACUUGUAGUUGUGGACUCCAAUGAUCAAACUAAGCUUAAACAUGAGGAUCAGAAGACUCUUCGUAGACUGGCUCAGAAUUGUGAGGCUGCUAGGAAGAGUCGAUUGAGGAAGAAGGCAUAUGUUCAGCAA